CCCGGAGGCCACCCAGUGCACCCAAUCCCAUUCAAUCCUAGAAACUAAGCAGUCCCAGCCCCGGCUAGUACCUGAAUGGGAGACCACCUGGGAAUCCCAGGUGCUGUAGGUU
rnacentral:rRNA from 1 species